AAAUUGAAGAGUUUGAUCAUGGCUCAGAUUGAACGCUGGCGGCAGGCCUAACACAUGCAAGUCGAACGGUAACAGGAAGCAGCUUGCUGCUUCGCUGACGAGUGGCGGACGGGUGAGUACCGU
rnacentral:rRNA from 1 species